CCCGCGGCAGAAAGCUGCUUCCUCCGCAGCGACGCCUCCUGGUGGACGUGGGGCGGGACGGGGUAUUCGAGAGAAAGCGAGUCCGGAGGGUGGAAGCCGGAUUUCUGCCCCUCGCCCGACAAAGAGCGCUGUAGUUCAAGCGUCCAGGCCUCUGACAGACACCUGAGGGGCCGGUCUCUGUCUGAGCACUUCAGCAACACUUGGAUAGCUGGUCACAUCAAUGGAGUCUCAUUGAACUGAAUUGGCUGCACAAGGCACUUGAGGUCAGGGCCUGAUUCUCCUCUCACUCACACCUGUUUAAUUCCAUGGACUUUGUCUAUGUCGGUGGCACCGAGACCAUGUAAAGAGCGAGAUAAAAGGAGUCUGCGCUGCUUUUAGCUGCGGGAGAUGCUCCUUUACCAAGGUCCCAGGUUCGAUCCCGCCCGCCAAUGAGCGGGGUCUGUCGUGUUACACAAGCAGAUGUGCUAUUCCUGUGUGGACGCUCUUACUCCAGAACAAAAGCUUCCAGACCUGCAGUUAAUUGGGAAUAACUCCCCUUGUAGACAAGGCUUAAGUGAGGCAGCUGGGCCAGGAGACUCGGCGCCUCCGUUUGCUAGCAGGCGGCGAGAAUGUUGCUUCAGUGCUUGCUGCUCAAACGGAGAGCAGCCAGCGCGGGUGGGCCAGGCAGGUACAGGUGGCUGCAGAACAUGUCUGGGACCAGUGGACAGCUGACUGAGACAGAAAAACAGGAGUGCAAGGGGGCCUUGUCCUCCUGAGGGUGAGCUUGCCGGAGGAGCCUGCUUCGUGAGAAUAAAAGCCCAGACCCGCA